AGAGCGAACGCUGGCGGCAGGCCUAACACAUGCAAGUCGAGCGCCCGUAGCAAUACGGGAGCGGCAGACGGGAUAGUAACACGUGGGAACGCGCCCUUCGGUUCGGAAUAACUCAGGGAAACUUGAGCUAAUACCGGAUACGCCCUUACGGGGAAAGAUUUAUUGCCGAAGGAACGGCCCGCGUCCGAUUAGCUAGUUGGUGAGGUAAUGGCUCACCAAGGCGACGAUCGGUAGCUGGUCUGAGAGGAUGACCAGCAUCACUGGGACUGAGACACGGCCCAGACUCCUACGGGAGGCAGCAGUGGGAAAUAUUGGACAAUGGGCGCAAGCCUGAUCCAGCCAUGCCGCGUGGAUGAUGAAGGCCUUAGGGUUGUAAAGUUCUUUUAACGGGGAAGAUAAUGACGGUACCCGUAGAAUAAGCCCGGCUAACUUCGUGCCAGCAGCCGC
rnacentral:rRNA from 1 species